UACGUAGGGUGCGAGCGUUGUCCGGAAUUAUUGGGCGUAAAGGGCUCGUAGGCGGUUUGUCGCGUCGGGAGUGAAAACCUCGGGCUUAACUCGGGGCUUGCUUUCGAUACGGGCAGACUGGAGGUAUGCAGGGGAGAACGGAAUUCCUGGUGUAGCGGUGAAAUGCGUAGAUAUCUGGAGGAACACCGGUGGCGAAGGCGGCAUCCUGGACCGGCAUUGACGCUGAGGCGCGAAAGCCAGGGGAGCAAACGGG
rnacentral:rRNA from 1 species